CGCGUGGGAACGUGCCCUUUGCUACGGAAUAGUCCCGGGAAACUGGGUUUAAUACCGUAUACGCCCUUUGGGGAAGAUUAUCGCAAGAUCGCCGCGUGAUAGUAGUGUGGGUAUGCUACCAAGCGACGAUCCAUAGCUGGUUUGAGAGGAUGAUCAGCCACACUGGGACUGAGACACGGCCCAGACUCCUACGGGAGGCAGCAGUGGGGAAUCUUAGACAAUGGGGGCAACCCUGAUCUAAGCCAUGCCCGCGUAGAGUGAUGAAAGGCCUUAGGGUUGUAAAGCUCUUUCAGCUGGGAA
rnacentral:rRNA from 1 species